rnacentral:lncRNA from 1 species
AUGGAUAAUGAUAUCGCCACGCUCGUCAUGGACAAUGGCUCUCCCAUGUGCAAGGCCAGCUUAGCAGGCGACGAUGCCCCUCCAUCGUGAGGCACCCAUGGCACCAGGGCAUGAUCGUGGGCAUGGGUCAGAAGAAGUCCUACGUGGACAAUGAGGCCCAGGGCAAGAGAAGCAUCCUGACCCUGAAAUACCCUAUCGAGCAUGGCAUUGUCACCAAUGGAGAAGAUCUGGCACCACACCUUCUUCAACGAGCUGCAUGUGGCUCCUCAGGAGCACCCUGUGCUGCUGACUGGGGCCCCCCUAAACCCCAAAGCCAACCGUGGGAUGACCCAGAUCAUGUUUGAGACCUUCUACACCCCAGCCAUGUAGGUGGCCAUUCAGGCUGUGCUUUCCCUGUAAGCCUCUGGCUGUACCACUGGCACCGUGAUGGACUCUGGCAGGGUCACCCACACUGUGCCCAUCUACAAGGGGCACGCCUUCCCUGGUGCCAUCCUGCAUCUGGACCCGGCUGACUACCGCAUGAAGAGCCCCGGGAAGUGCAGCUACAGCUUCACCACCACCGCUGAAGAGAGCGUGAGACAUCAAGGAGAAGCUGUGCUACCUCACCCUGGACUUCCAGCUCCUCCCUGGUCACUGUGGCCUCCAGCUCCUCCCUGGAGAAGAGCUACAAGCUGCCUGAAGCCCAAGUCGGCACCAUCAGCAACAAGCUGGUCCUCUGCCUCAAGGCUCUUUUCCAGCCUUCUUUCCUGGGCAUGAAAUCCUGUGGCAUCCACGAAACUACCUUCAACUCCAUCAUGAAGUGUGACAUGGACAUUUGCAAAGACCUCUACACCAAUGCAGUACUGUCCAGUGGCACCACUGUGUACCCUGGCAUCCCCCACAGGAUGCAGAAGGAGAUCACCACCCUGGCUCCCAGCACAAUGCAGAUAAAGAUCAUUGCUCCUCCUGAGCGCAGAUACUCUGUGUGGGUCCAGUGGCUCCAUCCUGGCCUGGCUGCCAGGCUUCCAGCAGAUGUGGAUCAGCAAGCAGCAGUACCACAAGUCCCACCCCUCCAUUGUCCACCACAGAU